GCACUCGUAGCUCAGUUGGAUAGAGCAUCAGUUUCCGGAACUGAGGGUCGUGCGUUCAAUUCGCACCGAGUGCA
rnacentral:tRNA from 1 species